UCAUUCUUGGACAAUUUAGUCUUGCUGACUGUUUCCAAAACUGCUUUUUGUGUUUUUUUUAUUUGUGUUGACAGUGUUGUCUGUCGCUCGGCCGACAACACCCCUACAUUACCGUAAUGUCUGUCACCUGCUCCCUCUUGUUGUCUCAUUUAUUUAAGCCCUGCCCGUGUGUUUCUCCUUGUCGGUGUCUACUGUUGUCUCCUGUCUGUGUCUGCGCCUGGUGUUCCUGUUCUGCUCGUCCAGUUUCCCCCCGGUCUUGUGUGGAGGCUCACGGUCAGAUUCUGGACUUCUGUUUGCCUGUCUGCUGGCUCUGGAAGAGAGCUGCCCGUUUGAACAGGUGCACAUGUUGGGUCUGGAACAGAAGCCAUCCCCGCAGGAGUUCCUGCAAAUUGCUGUUGGGUCAAAAAGACAAAGGGUGAGCCAUUUGAAACUUUUAAGCAAAGCAGUAAGAGAAAUGUUUCUUCUCGUGGAACUUACGGACAAUGCACUGGUUCCCGCCUGGCAGAGUUUUCCAUCCGGGGCAGCAGUAUGAAUGGAAACGAGAACCGCAAACGUUUGGUCUGAAACACAAAAAUAAAAAAAAAUGGCAUAUUUUGAGAGAAUCCUUGAAACAAUUGACUGGACUAGCCAAACAAAAAAUGUUCAAUUGACAGAUGUAACAGUCAUCGUAGACUAUGGAGCGUUUGAUUGGUCUCGGCCACAAGCUUUCCUCUCAGGAAACAGCUAAACCGCAUUUGCAAAUGACUGACAUUACUCACACACACACAUUGAGGCUUUACAAACCAAUAAGAGGAGGACUCUUUCAUACAUAUCAUAAAAAUCUCCCUCAUGCAUCAACUUUAAAACCCAAUUCCAGUCGGAAUACAGAAGUAAAUGCAGCGUAGCAAUCUGAAAAGAUUCCAGCAGUGUGGUUGUACUAAUGAUAUGUGCAGUCGUGUUUUGUGAAGCAUGUGACUGAUAAUGUCUACAUUUCUAGUAAUACAGUUUAGAUUGAAACCUUUCCUGUCUGUUAACAUCAUCCCUAUAAAAAGCGUAUCUUGCAAAUAUUUAUAUAGAGCUAAAGUCAACAGUGGUGACAUCAUCACAAUGACUUUUGUUUGGAGAGUUUUUACAAGUUACUUCAUCUAAACUGACCAUUUGUGUUUAUUGUGAAAAUGGUGGUGAGGAUUGAGGUUGAAGUUCUUUCUUUCUCAACAAUAAAAAAUAAACGCUUCUAUGAAUCUUUCCAA